CAGUAUAGUACAGUGUGUGUUACUGUUGCUCUGGGACACAGUAUAGUACAGUGUGUGUUACUGUUGCUCUGGGACACAGUAUAGUACAGUGUGUGUUACUGUUGCUCUGGGACACAGUAUAGUACAGUGUGUGUUACUGUUGCUCUGGGACACAGUAUAGUACAGUGUGUUACUGUUGCUCUGGGACACAGUAUAGUACAGUGUGUGUUACUGUUGCUCUGGGACACAGUAUAGUACAGUGUGUGUUACUGUUGCUCUGGGACACAGUAUAGUACAGUGUGUGUUACUGUUGCUCUGGGACACAGUAUAGUACUGUGUGUUACUGUUGCUCUGGGACACAGUAUAGUACAGUGUGUGUUACUGUUGCUCUGGGACACAGUAUAGUACAGUGUGUUACUGUUGCUCUGGGACACAGUAUAGUACAGUGUGUUACUGUUGCUCUGGGACACAGUAUAGUACAGUGUGUGUGUGGUGUGUUACUGUUGCUCUGGGACACAGUAUAGUACAGUGUGUGUGUGGUGUGUUACUGUUGCUCUGGGACACAGUAUAGUACAGUGUGUGUGUGGUGUGUUACUGUUGCUCUGGGACACAGUAUAGUACAGUGUGUGUGUUGUGUGUUACUGUUGCUCUGGGACACAGUAUAGUACAGUGUGUGUGUUGUGUGUUACUGUUGCUCUGGGACACAGUAUAGUACAGUGUGUUACUGUUGCUCUGGGACACAGUAUAGUACUGUGUGUGUUACUGUUGCUCUGGGACACAGUAUAGUACA